UACGAAGGGGGCUAGCGUUGCUCGGAAUGACUGGGCGUAAAGGGCGCGUAGGCGGUUCAUACAGUCAGAUGUGAAAUUCCCGGGCUCAACCUGGGGGCUGCGUUUGAUACGUACGGGCUUGAGUUCGGAAGAGGGUCGUGGAAUUCCCAGUGUAGAGGUGAAAUUCGUAGAUAUUGGGAAGAACACCGGUGGCGAAGGCGGCGACCUGGUCCGAUACUGACGCUGAGGCGCGAAAGCGUGGGGAGCAAACAGG
rnacentral:rRNA from 1 species